UACGUAGGGUGCAAGCGUUUGUCCGGAAUUAUUGGGCGUAAAGAGCUCGUAGGCGGUUUGUCGCGUCUGCUGUGAAAACUCGGGGCUUAACCCCGGGCCUGCAGUGGGUACGGGCAGACUAGAGUUCGGUAGGGGAGAUCGGAAUUCCUGGUGUAGCGGUGAAAUGCGCAGAUAUCAGGAGGAACACCGGUGGCGAAGGCGGAUCUCUGGGCCGAUACUGACGCUGAGGAGCGAAAGCGUGGGGAGCGAACAGG
rnacentral:rRNA from 1 species